AUUGAACGCUGGCGGCAGGCCUAACACAUGCAAGUCGAACGAGUGGCGGACGGGUGAGUAAUGUCUGGGAAACUGCCUGAUGGAGGGGGCUAACUACUGGAAACGGUAGCUAAUACCGACUCCCAUCAGAUGUGCCCAGAUGGGCUUAGCUAGUUGGUGGGGUAACGGCUCACCAAGGCGACGAUGCCUCGCUGGUCUGAGAGGAUGACCAGCAACGCGGGAACGGAGACACGGUGCCGAUUCCUACGGGAGGCAGGAUUGGGGAAUAUUGCACAAUGGGCGCAAGCCUGAUGCAGGCAUGCCGCGUGUAUGAAGAAGGCCUUCGGGGUGUAAAGUACUUUCAUCGGGGAGGCGUUACCCGCAGAAGAAGCACCGGCUAACUCCGUGCCAGCAGCCGCGGUAAUUC
rnacentral:rRNA from 1 species